GACGAACGCUGGCGGCGUGCUUAACACAUGCAAGUCGGACGAUGAAGAAGAGAAACGCGAACUUCGGUUCAAAUUUCACUUCGGAUUAGUGGCAGACGGGUGAGUAACGCGUGAGCAACCUACCUCUUACAAAGGGAUAGCCUCGGGAAACCGUGAUUAAUACCAUAUGACACAUUCAUAAGGCAUCUUAAGAAUGUUAAAGCUACGGCGGUAAGAGAUGGGCUCGCGUCCCAUUAGCUAGUUGGUGAGGUAACGGCCCACCAAGGCGACGAUGGGUAACCGGCCUGAGAGGGUGAACGGUCACAUUGGAACUGAGACACGGUCCAAACUCCUACGGGAGGCAGCAGUGGGGAAUAUUGCACAAUGGAGGGAACUCUGAUGCAGCGACGCCGCGUGAGCGAUGAAGGAAUUCGUUUCGUAAAGCUCUGUUCUAUGGGAAGAAAAGGACUGUACCAUAGGAGAAAGCCCCGGCUAAAUACGUG
rnacentral:rRNA from 1 species